GUCCACCUGCGCCGCUUCGUCCUUCCUCCUCCUCCUCCCUGUCAGCUGUUUUUCUUUCUUCCCAUCUCCCAUCUCUUCCUUUUUAUCCCUCUCAUUCCUCCCUCUUUCCGUCCGUUUCCUUCUCCCUUCCCCAUCUCCUUCCUUUUAAUUUUCCUUUUCUCCUCCCUCCCGCCUUCCUUCUCUCUGCUUCCUUUCUCUUCCUCCCUCCCUCCUUCUCUUCCGCCUGCUUCCUUUCUUUCUCCUCUCUCUCCUUUCUUCCUUUCCUCCUCUCCUUUUUCUUUUUCUUUUAUUUUCUUUCUUUCUUUUUUUUCUGAGACGGAGUCUCCCUCUGUCGCCCAGGCUGGAGGGCAAUGGCGCGAUCUCGGCUCACUGCAACCUCCGCCUCCCGGGUUGAAGCGAUUCUCCUGCCUCAGCCUCCCGAGUAGCUGGGAUUACAGGCUCCCGCCACCACGCCCGGCUAAUUUUUUUGUGUUUUUAGUAGAGAAGGGGUUUCACCAUGUUGGCCAAGCUGGUCUUGAACUCCUGACCUCGUGAUCCACCUGCCUUGGCCUCCCAAAGUGCUGGAAUUACAGGCGUGAGCCACCACGCCCGGCCUCAUUUCUUUUAAACAUGUAUUUUAAUAUUUUUAAUUGUUGUGGAGAACAUGUCACAUGAAAUUUACCAUCUUAACCAUUUUAAGUGUGCAGUUCAGUAGUGUUAGCUGUAUUCACAUUGUUGUGCAGCAGAGCUCUAGAACUUUUUCAUCUUGCAAAACAGACUUUAUACCAAUUAAACAACUCCCCAUCCCACCGCCCCUCCUAACCAUUAUUCUACUUUGUGUUUCUUCUGUUCUUUUUCCCUUUUGGGGCCUUUGUUUCUUUUCCUUUAUCUCUCCCUUUUCUUCCCCUCCCUCUCUCCUUCUCUCACUUCUAUAAAACCUAAUGGCCCCGCUGCCUGGGCAGCCCUCUCCGGCCUCUGCCUGGACUGGGCCAGUGGGCCUGUCAGCAAGGCUGUUAGAGUUUGGUGAAUCAUCAUUCUUACCUGAUGUGUCAGGGCCAGUGGGAGGCCCCUGGAAGCCUCACUUGGCUUUUCACUGGUAGGCAAACACGUCCAGCAAGAAACUUC
rnacentral:lncRNA from 10 species